rnacentral:ncRNA from 2 species
CCUCGCACACACGGGAGCUCGGGCACGACCGGGCUGAGAGGGCGACAUCCAGGCGUCGCCGACCGUACGAACCUGACCGGGUAAUGCCGGCGUAGGGAGGCAUUCGAUGACAGCAG